rnacentral:rRNA from 1 species
GAUGAACGCUGGCGGCGUGCCUAAUACAUGCAAGUCGAGCGAACAGAUGAGGAGCUUGCUCCUCUGACGUUAGCGGCGGACGGGUGAGUAACACGUGGAUAACCUACCUAUAAGACUGGGAUAACUUCGGGAAACCGGAGCUAAUACCGGAUAAUAUAUUGAACCGCAUGGUUCAAUAGUGAAAGACGGUUUUGCUGUCACUUAUAGAUGGAUCCGCGCCGCAUUAGCUAGUUGGUAAGGUAACGGCUUACCAAGGCAACGAUGCGUAGCCGACCUGAGAGGGUGAUCGGCCACACUGGAACUGAGACACGGUCCAGACUCCUACGGGAGGCAGCAGUAGGGAAUCUUCCGCAAUGGGCGAAAGCCUGACGGAGCAACGCCGCGUUAGUGAUGAAGGUCUUCGGAUCGUAAAACUCUGUUAUUAGGGAAGAACAAAUGUGUAAGUAACUAUGCACGUCUUGACGGUACCUAAUCAGAAAGCCACGGCUAACUACGUG